UGCAGUCGAACGGCAGCACGGGGGCAACCCUGGUGGCGAGUGGCGAACGGGUUAGUAAUAUAUCGGAACGUGCCCAGUCGUGGGGGAUAACGUAGCGAAAGUUACGCUAAUACCGCAUACGAUCUACGGAUGAAAGCGGGGGAUCGCAAGACCUCGCGCGAUUGGAGCGGCCGAUAUCAGAUUAGGUAGUUGGUGGGGUAAAGGCUCACCAAGCCAACGAUCUGUAGCUGGUCUGAGAGGACGACCAGCCACACUGGGACUGAGACACGGCCCAGACUCCUACGGGAGGCAGCAGUGGGGAAUUUUGGACAAUGGGCGCAAGCCUGAUCCAGCCAUUCCGCGUGCAGGACGAAGGCCUUCGGGUUGUAAACCGCUUUCAGCAGGGAAUAAGCGCAAGUGAAGGUACCUGCAGAAGAAGCACCGGCUAACUAUGUGCCAGCAGCCGCGGUAAUACAUAGGGUGCAAGCGUUGUCCGGAAUUAUUGGGCGUAAAGAGCUCGUAGGUGGUUUGUUACGUCGGUUGUGAAAUUCAGGGGCUCAACCCCUGACUUGCAGCCGAUACGGGCAAGCUAGAGUUUGGUAGGGGAGACUGGAAUUCCUGGUGUAGCGGUGGAAUGCGCAGAUAUCAGGAGGAACACCGAUGGCGAAGGCAGGUCUCUGGGCCAAUACUGACACUGAGGAGCGAAAGCGUGGGGAGCGAACAGGAUUAGAUACCCUGGUAGUCCACGCCGUAAACGGUGGGCGCUAGUUGUGCGAACCUUCCACGGUUUGUGCGACGCAGCUAACGCAUUAAGCGCCCCGCCUGGGGAGUACGAUCGCAAGAUUAAAACUCAAAGGAAUUGACGGGGCCCCGCACAAGCAGCGGAGCAUGCGGCUUAAUUCGACGCAACGCGAAGAACCUUACCAAGGCUUGACAUAUACAGGAAUAUGGCAGAGAUGUCAUAGCCGCAAGGUCUGUAUACAGGUGGUGCAUGGUUGUCGUCAGCUCGUGUCGUGAGAUGUUGGGUUAAGUCCCGCAACGAGCGCAACCCUCGUUCUGUGUUGCCAGCAUUUAGUUGGGGACUCACAGGAGACUGCCGGGGUUAACUCGGAGGAAGGUGGGGAUGACGUCAAAUCAUCAUGCCCCUUAUGUCUUGGGCUGCACGCAUGCUACAAUGGCUGGUACAAACGGCUGCGAUACCGCAAGGUGGAGCGAAUCCGAUAAAGCCAGUCUCAGUUCGGAUUGGGGUCUGCAACUCGACCCCAUGAAGUCGGAGUUGCUAGUAAUCGUAGAUCAGCAACGCUACGGUGAAUACGUUCCCGGGGCUUGUACACACCGCCCGUCACAUCACGAAAGUCGGUAACACCCAAAGUCAGUGGCCCAACCGCAAGG
rnacentral:rRNA from 1 species